UUUGACCAUGAUAUAAAUAAUAGUGAUGUGCGGAUCGACACUGAAAUAUCAAUAUCUCCGAUACCAGAUCUUUACACUCUAGAAUCGAUUCACAAAUCAAAAUACCGAUACUUUUGAAACUUUAGUCAUUUGAGGUAGUGUACAUCAGCAGCACAGUGGA